GACGAACGCUGGCGGCGUGCCUAACACAUGCAAGUCGAGCGAAUGAAGUUCCUUCGGGAAUGGAUUUAGCGGCGGACGGGUGAGUAACACGUGGGCAACCUGCCUCAUAGAGGGGAAUAGCCUUCCGAAAGGGAGAUUAAUACCGCAUAAGAUUGUAGUAUCGCAUGAUACAGCAAUUAAAGGAGCAAUCCGCUAUGAGAUGGGCCCGCGGCGCAUUAGCUAGUUGGUGAGGUAACGGCUCACCAAGGCGACGAUGCGUAGCCGACCUGAGAGGGUGAUCGGCCACAUUGGGACUGAGACACGGCCCAGACUCCUACGGGAGGCAGCAGUGGGGAAUAUUGCACAAUGGGGGAAACCCUGAUGCAGCAAUGCCGCGUGAGUGAUGACGGCCUUCGGGUUGUAAAGCUCUGUCUUCAGGGACGAUAAUGACGGUACCUGAGGAGGAAGCCACGGCUAACUACGUG
rnacentral:rRNA from 1 species